rnacentral:rRNA from 1 species
UACGUAGGGGGCAAGCGUUGUCCGGAUUUAUUGGGCGUAAAGAGCGUGUAGGCGGCCAGGCAGGUCCGCUGUGAAAACUCGAGGCUCAACCUCGAGAGGUCGGUGGAAACCGUCUGGCUAGAGUCCGGAAGAGGAGAGUGGAAUUCCCGGUGUAGCGGUGAAAUGCGCAGAUAUCGGGAGGAACACCUGUGGCGAAGGCGGCUUUCUGGGCCCUACCUGACGCUGAGACGCGAAAGCGUGGGGAGCGAACCGG